GGUUCCUUAGUCCAACGGAUCUGACGCACUGAAGGCUGGACAUUGGCAGAUAUCAUCUAUGAUGAAAAAGCCUCCCUUGCGAGACGAGAAUCUUCACCAUCUGAAUCAUGAGUGCCGGUGCCCGUCGUCAGUCCCUUCUCUCUCCGUUACUGGACCUGGAUCUGGAUCUGGACACUCAUUACCAGCUUGUGCAUCUCACUGCUGAUAUCAUGAUGCUACUUAACUAUCUUCGCAGCACCCCCUCUAGGAAUGGAGAUCCGGGGUUCCCCCCUCUUCUUCGAUACAGAAUCUGCCUACAGCAUCUACAGCAAUCUACAGCAAAUAUGCUGUCCGAAAGAACACGUUAACAUCAAGGGCAACAAGUGCUGAGAUUGUGACGGUGAUGAAAAGGUGGCUGCAGCUGGCUUCAGACCGUGGAGGAGGAUGGAAGAGGUGCAACAAACAGUAGCUUGUCCUGACUAGGAACGCAUAAACCAUUGAAAUCA